AUAUUUUCUGGUUGGAUUCCUGAGAGCUGGCAACAUCAAACAGGUUUAUUUAGCCAUGUGAUGCAUAGAACUGCAGGAAGCAAGCAAAGGCUGUUAGCAGAAGCCAGGAGGAAAUCUUUAAAAGCAGAUGAGCCAUGUCACACACGCUAAGGACAUAAAGCAACUGCAUUUUGCACCCUCCAUAGAGAUAUUGAUGGAUUUGCUGGCAAUUUUGUGACUUAAUCCCAUGGACGGAGGGGCCUGGAAGGCUGCAGUCCAUGGGGUCAUGAAGAGUCGGACAUGACUGAGCGACUUCACUUUCACUUUGUGACUUGAAGACAGUUCUGAGGAAUAAAUCCUAUUAAACUUUUUGGAAGUUUAUGUUUUUAACUUUUUGGAAUUCAGAGAAGAAGGAAAUUUACACUUUUGUUUUUUAAAAAAAGUAUGGAUAUGCAUAAAAACACCAAAGUAUUUAUGAGUGAAAUGAAUGACAGAUGGGAUUUCCUCUAAGGUAGAAAAAAGUAGACAAA